rnacentral:rRNA from 1 species
UACGUAGGGUGCAAGCGUUGUCCGGAUUUAUUGGGCGUAAAGCGCGUGUAGGCGGCCACGCAGGUCCGCUGUGAAAACUCGAGGCUCAACCUCGAGCUGUCGGUGGAAACCGCGUGGCUAGAGUCCGGAAGAGGGGACUGGAAUUCCCGGUGUAGCGGUGGAAUGCGCAGAUAUCGGGAGGAACACCCGUGGCGAAGGCGGGUCCCUGGGACGGUACUGACGCUGAGACGCGAAAGCGUGGGGAGCGAACAGG